GUAGGGACCAAGCGUUGUUCGGAUUUACUGGGCGUAAAGGGCGCGUAGGCGGCGCGGUAAGUCACUUGUGAAAUCUCUGAGCUUAACUCAGAACGGCCAAGUGAUACUGCAGUGCUAGAGUGUGGAAGGGGCAAUCGGAAUUCUUGGUGUAGCGGUGAAAUGCGUAGAUAUCAAGAGGAACACCUGAGGUGAAGACGGGUUGCUGGGCUAACACUGACGCUGAGGCGCGAAAGCCAGGGGAGCAAACGGGAUUAGAUACCCCGGUAGUCCUGGCCCUAACGAUGAAUACUUGGUGUCUGGAGUUUUAAUGCUCCGGGUGCCGUCGCUAACGUUUUUAGUAUUCCGCCUGGGGAGUACGCUCGCAAGAGUG
rnacentral:rRNA from 1 species